ensembl:lncRNA
CAUCUGAAUGUUUCGUCGCAGCGUGGAGCCUUUCUUUCUCCCUCCUUUGAAAACCUUUCACCUGAUUAACUUGUUUUAUGAACACUUUAACCUCAGUUUCUUCCCUUAUAUUUAUACUUUCAUAACUUUUUGCCGUAUGGGACGGAACGUAUUUUCUCCAUUCUACUAUGGAUGAGGAGAGAGAGGAGGGGGAUCCUACCUCUAAGACCGCUCUGUCUGGGGAACUAGGCCGCCGGAGCAAAGCUAAGAGCCCAGAGCAGCAGCAGACCUCAGACUCCCCUGGACCCAGCUGUGUCUCCAUGAAGAGUGACCACUCCAUGGAUCAUCCUGUUAGGUUUCCAGAUGGAAAUCAGUCUAUUGAGAAGAGGUGAGGAUUUAUCAGAGAUCAUAAAGAUACAGCUUCUAUCAAACGUCCAUAAAUCCUGG